CAGACUGGUCAUCCUUCUGGACAUCCUUCAGGAUGAAGCCAGGGCUGCAAGAGAAACCAGGGUCCCGGGUACCAGAGAGAAGGCGGUGCCAGCAGCCGGGGGAAAGAAGGCCUACUCUUGCAUGCAUUUUGUGCAUUGGGCCUGUAGUU